rnacentral:rRNA from 1 species
AACGAACGCUGGCGGCAGGCUUAACACAUGCAAGUCGAACGCCCCGCAAGGGGAGUGGCAGACGGGUGAGUAACGCGUGGGAAUCUACCCAGAUCUUCGGAACAACUGAGGGAAACUUCAGCUAAUACCGGAUACGCCCUACGGGGGAAAGAUUUAUCGGUUCUGGAUGAGCCCGCGUUGGAUUAGCUAGUUGGUGAGGUAAAGGCUCACCAAGGCGACGAUCCAUAGCUGGUCUGAGAGGAUGAUCAGCCACACUGGGACUGAGACACGGCCCAGACUCCUACGGGAGGCAGCAGUGGGGAAUAUUGGACAAUGGGGGCAACCCUGAUCCAGCCAUGCCGCGUGAGUGAUGAAGGCCUUAGGGUUGUAAAGCUCUUUCGGCGGGGACGAUAAUGACGGUACCCGCAGAAGAAGCCCCGGCUAACUUCGUGCCAGCCGCCGCCGUAAAAC